CAGUCGCCACGGGAACACGGAGGGCGCGAGCGUUACCCGGAUUUACUGGGCGUAAAGGGCGUGUAGGCGGCCUGGGGCGUCCCAUGUGAAAGGCCACGGCUCAACCGUGGAGGAGCGUGGGAUACGCUCAGGCUAGAGGGUGGGAGAGGGUGGUGGAAUUCCCGGAGUAGCGGUGAAAUGCGCAGAUACCGGGAGGAACGCCGAUGGCGAAGGCAGCCACCUGGUCCACUUCUGACGCUGAGGCGCGAAAGCGUGGGGAGCAAACCGGAUUAGAUACCCGAGUAGUCCCUGUCUCUUAUAC
rnacentral:rRNA from 1 species